UACGGGGGGGGCAAGCGUUGUUCGGAAUUACUGGGCGUAAAGGGCUCGUAGGUGGCCAACUAAGUCAGACGUGAAAUCCCCAGGCUUAACCUGGGAACUGCGUCUGAUACUGGAUGGCUUGAAUUCGGGAGAGGGAUGCAGAAUUCCAGGUGUAGCGGUGAAAUGCGUAGAUAUCUGGAGGAAUACCGGUGGCGAAGGCGGCAUCCUGGACCGAGAUUGACACUGAUGAGCGAAAGCCAGGGGAGCAAACGGGAUUAGAUACCCCGGUAGUCCUGGCCCUAAACGAUGAAUGCUUGGUGUGACGGGUAUCGAUCCCUGUCGUGCCGAAGCUAACGCAUUAAGCAUUCCGCCUGGGGAGUACGGUCGCAAGGCUGAA
rnacentral:rRNA from 1 species